GCCGGGCGUGGUGGCCUAUGCCUUUAAUCCCAUCACUAGGGGGGCCGAGGUAGGGGGAUCACUGUGAGUUCAAGGCCACCCUGAGAUUACAUAGUAAAUUCCAGGUCAGCCUGAGCUAGAGUGAAACCCUACCUCGAAAAACCAAAAGAAAAAAAAAAGAUAGGGUUUCACUCUAGCUCAGGCUGACCUGGAAUUUACUGUGUAGUGUCUCAGGGUGGGCUUAAACCCAUGGUGAUCCUACCUCU
rnacentral:sRNA from 1 species